AUUGUGAUUCCUAAAGAGUUGUUUGUGAUACAUAAAGAAUUGAUUAUGAUUCAUAAAUAGUAGAUUGUAAUUCAAAAAGAGUUGUUUGUGAUUCAUAAAGAGUUGUUUGUGAUACAUAAAUAGUUGAUUGUGAUACCUAGGCUAAAGAGUUGAUUGUGAUUCAUAAAGCGUUGAUUUUGAUACAUAAAGAGUUGAUUGUGAUUCAUAAAUAGUUGAUUUUGUUACAUAAA